AGCCUCUUCUGUUUUUAGGAAAACCGCAUGCCUGCAUUUAGCUACCUUCAUGUUAUUGACAGGGAGAGAGGCAAUUCUGACAAGGUUUAAAGCUGUGGAAGCAAGGACAAAGGAAUAUGAAUUUGGGAAAAAAUUUUCAAAGAAAGAAGAUGAAUUAUUUUUUCUACAACAACAGACUUCUGUAUCAGAAUUCCUUAUUGAAACUUCUCAUUGUACAGCUGUGAAAGACAUGCAGAAAGAAAAGAGGAGGCAGGAAACGAUACAGAAAUUUUCUAGAUCUCUAAAGAGAGAAGUAUACUGAAACAAAAGAAAAGGAAGAACAGUAAGAAGAUACAUAUUUGCAAGACAAGUUGCAUCAAUUUGUGGAACUUUGGGUUUUGAACACACAGAAACAGGUCAGACUGAUGCUGAAACAGAGUAAAGAAGUAACUGCAUAUACCGCAUUUUUACUUUUACAAUAAAAUUAUUCUAAAUAUAA